AAUUUUGGACAAUGGGGGAAACCAUGAUCCAGCCAUCCCGCGUGUAUGAUGAAGGCCGUCGGGUUGUAAAGUACUUUUGGCAGAGAAGAAAAGGUAUCUCCUAAUACGAGAUACUGCUGACGGUAUCUGCAGAAUAAGCCCCGGCUAACUACGUGCCAGCCGCCGCGGUAAUACGUAGGGUGCAAGCGUUAAUCGGAAUUACGGGGCGUAAAGCGUGUGUAGGAGGUUCGGCAAGAAAGAUGUGAAAUCCCCCGUCUCAACCUUGGAACUGCAUUUUUAACUGCCGAGCUAGAGUAGGUCAGAGGGGGGUAGAAUUCCACGUGUAGCAGUGAAAUGCGUAGAUAUGUGGAGGAAUACCGAUGGCGAAGGCAGCCCCCUGGGAUAAUACUGACGCUCAGACACGAAAGCGUGGGGAGCAAACAGG
rnacentral:rRNA from 1 species